rnacentral:misc_RNA from 1 species
UUCUAUACAUGAAGCUCAAAUUCAAUGGAAAUAUAACUAACUUAUACUAAUUAUUUUCACUAAAUUGCAAACUACCCCACCUUUCACUUAAAAAGUGUACCUAACUAAUAGCAGAAAACUAGAAAGAUGCACAAGAUAUAUAUGUACACAUUGAGAAUCUUCUCCUCCCAAACAAACAAAUAUUUAUGGUCACCCCCAGCUUUUUUACCCUAACGUUCCUAGUUUUUGUGCAAAUGAAAAGCAAAAAACAUGUAGUCCUUUCCUGCUUGGCUCGCUCAAAUAACAGUAGAAACUUCAUUAGAUUUCCAAGAAACCAUAAAGGUUGGUUAGAUUUCUUUUUUCUUUCGAUGUAAUCAUUUUCAUCACAUCAUUGUUGCAGUGAUGCACGAGCCAUUGGCCAUGAAACUUGUGGCCUCAGCUUUCCAGCGAAG